rnacentral:rRNA from 1 species
GACAGAGGGUGCAAACGUUGUUCGGAAUUACUGGGCGUAAAGCGCGUGUAGGCGGUCUGAAAAGUCGGGUGUGAAAGCCCCGGGCUCAACCCGGGAAGUGCACUCGAAACUGCCAGGCUAGAGUAUCGGAGAGGUUGGUGGAAUUCUCGGUGUAGAGGUGAAAUUCGUAGAUAUCGAGAGGAACACCGGUGGCGAAGGCGGCCAACUGGACGAAUACUGACGCUGAGACUCGAAAGCGUGGGGAGCAAACAGG